rnacentral:misc_RNA from 1 species
AAAUAAAAAUCGGUGUUGUUGCUGCCUUGCGUGGUGACGCAUCGGAUUUGGGUCGUCUUACCUUCGGUUAAGUGACCUAAAAUUUUGCAUGAUUUUUCGAACGUAUUUAAAUUAUUUACGUACGUUUGUGAUAUCGAACAUUAGGUGCGGUCAUUCUCAUGAUUCGCGCCUAUGAUUUCUCAUCA